ACUACAAGUGAAAAACUUAAAACUCAAAGGACUUGACGGUGUCCCAUAUCGACCUAGAGGAGCCUGUCCUAUAAUCGAUACCCCCCGCUCCACCCGACCCCAACUAGCAUACAUCAGCCUAUAUACCGCCGUCGAUCAGCCUACCCUAUGAAAGUCCAACAGUAGACACAAUAGCCCCACCGCUAAUACGUCAGGUCAAGGUGUAGCAAAUGUUGUGGAAGAGAUUGGCUACAUUUUUUAUUAUAAAAAAUACGAAAUAUACCAUGAAACAGUAUAUGAAGGUGAAUUUAGUAGUAAAAUAAACAAGAGUGUUUAUUUUAACAACGCUCUGGGACGCGUACACACCGCC
rnacentral:rRNA from 2 species